GGUAUAGUGGUGCAGUGGGUAGCACUGCUGCCUAACAGCUAGAAGGUUGCGGGUUUGAAUCUGGCCUGGGGCC